rnacentral:rRNA from 1 species
UACGGGGGGGGUAAGCGUUGUUCGGAAUUACUGGGCGUAAAGGGCUCGUAGGCGGCCAACUAAGUCAGACGUGAAAUCCCUCAGCUUAACCAAGGAAGUGCAUCCGAAACUACAGAGCUUGAGUACUUAAGAGGAUCGCGGAAUUCCCGGUGUAGAGGUGAAAUUCGUAGAUAUCGGGAGGAACAUCAGUGGCGAAGGCGGCGAUCUGGGAAGAUACUGACGCUGAGGUGCGAAAGCGUGGGGAGCAAACAGG